rnacentral:tRNA from 3 species
GGAAGCUUACAAACUGGUAAAGCUGAUCUUCCAAACAUCAGUAAGUAGGUUCGAUUCCUACAGCCUCCGCCA